rnacentral:rRNA from 1 species
UACGUAGGGCGCAAGCGUUAUCCGGAAUUAUUGGGCGUAAAGAGCUCGUAGGCGGUGUGUCGCGUCGAUCGUGAAAACUUGGGGCUUAACCCUGAGCUUGCGGUCGAUACGGGCAUCACUUGAGUUCGGCAGGGGAGACUGGAAUUCCUGGUGUAGCGGUGAAAUGCGCAGAUAUCAGGAGGAACACCAAUUGCGAAGGCAGCUCGCUGGGACGUUACUGACGCUGAGACGCGAAAGCGUGGGGAGCAAACAGG